rnacentral:lncRNA from 1 species
AAUGAUAUGGAUGUAUUUACACCUCCAUCCCAUCCAUCGAAUAGAAAAAUUAACUUUUGACCCCUAUAUCCCCUUCCUUCGACUCAAGCCUAACUAUGUGAAGUUUCUAAAUAUAAAAAUUUAAAACAAGUAAACAAAUUAUUAAUACUACUUGACUUACCUACUGUGAUAGCUGUGAUAAUGAGCUCAACUGAAUCAGCGAUAAGUAACUUAAAUGUUGACCUCUACAUACAAAUGCCCUCAAGAUAGGGAGAGCACUAUCUUGGAGGUUUGAAUCUUUCUCAUUUCUUGACUUGAUUCUACCUUUCAAGUGUGCAUCUCGAGUCCAAAUAUUAUAGGUUUCCUUAUGAUAAGUAUGUAAAAGAGUUUGAAAUCAUGGUUAGAAAUCAGCUUGCUAUAGUUGAUAUCCGAAUCUUGCCACCUCCAAAUAUAUGUUACACUUAUAUUCAUCAUAUUUAUCUGAAAGUAGUUUAUCUGUAGUAAUUUGAAAUCACAUCUUUCAAAUGCUUCAGCUAAAAUAUCAUGACUCUGGGAGGCCCGAGCCUGGUCCGAACCCAUUGAAUUUUUUUUAAAAAAAUAAAAUAAAAAUUUAAAAAUAGUACUUAAAUUAAAGACCAACAAAAUA